CAAGAAAGAAAGAUUAUGGCCAGUCAAGAAAAAGAAUGGUUAGGGGUUCUGCAUCAUCAUCAACGUCUUCUUCUUCUUCUUCUUCUUCUUCUUCUUCUUCAAACCCUCAUAAUAACUCCCUACAAAAACAAAAUUGGAAGUUAUUGGAUCUUUUAUUGGAUUCUGCUUUAGAACAUUCAAUAAAAAAUCAAAGCUCUUUUGUUUCUCUCCUUCCUCCACCACCACCAAGAACAGCUUCAAAGAUUUUGCCACCAACGACAGAUAAUCAAAUUCCAUACUCAUCAUCAAGAAUGGUCAUCAAUCAAAUUCAAGAUAAUAAGGGCAAGAUUCAAGUUCCAAUAGAAGAGCAUAAAAAUGAUGAGGAAGAAUGGCUAAUGGGUAUCAAGAAACCAAUUGAAAAGCAAAAUUCAACUUCUUUAUACAACCGAUUUCCUAAUAGCAGAAUUCUUGGGUCAUCAUCAUCAAAUUAUUCAAGAAUUCAAAUGGGUAACGCUAAUUACUAUCAUCAUAGGAUUGCUCCAGCAGUGCAAAUUAGGUCAGUGAUUCCAGUAUGUGCAGCACCACCAUCAACAACAUCAGUAAUUACUGCUUCAUCUUCUUCAAAAUCUCCAACAAAGGCAGG
rnacentral:lncRNA from 1 species